UGCAACGAAGCCUCUGAUUGGUCAAAGAUCCAAAUUGGACGCCUAGAAGUCCGCUAGCAACAUUAAUCCUUGGAAAACGGGAUAAAAACGAUCACAAAAGUCAUUCAAUGUUGGAUUUAUCGUCACGGACAUAUUGUGCAAAGUCUCCGAAAAGACACUGAAGUUCCAGGCCGCACUACAAAUCUCCUGAAAGGGCCACGAUCGCCACCGAAGCCGUUGCCUGGAACGGCGCAAGUGUUCACUUCCUGUCAAAACAAACCGAUCCAGUGUUAUCAGGACUUUUAUAACAUGACGCAUUUUCUGUUGCAUGCGACAGAUUUCGGGAUCAGAUGUGUGUAAUGUGCUGACAUGUUUUUUUUUUUUUUCUGAGUCUCGUCCUUACACAACGCAGACAACUUCCCCGGUAACACGUGGUCUUGUUCAGUUUUGAAUGACAACAGUUGACUCCUCCUUGAAGACGCGGUAAUGGACACUCAGGCUGGAGCGGUUCUCGCCGUGCAGAUUCCUUGACUCGGAUGCGAGGGGCCCUCUUGCAGAUGGAUCUUUGUUCGACCCGCAAGGUGCUGAUUAUUCUCCUCCCACAUCCAGAUGGACCGCUCUGACCUCUCACUCGGGGGGGUUAACAACAUCUAUAGAACUUCUGCAACUCCAUCAGAACUGAUGUGACAUGAACCCGGAUGAGGACGACAGCGAGGAUGAACGCGGCGGCGGCGACGACGGCGACGACGACGUCAUCCGCCCCGCAGGUUCAAGUUUAAAUCAGGGAGCAAGUAGUGUUUCUGUUUGU